rnacentral:lncRNA from 1 species
AGUCAGAAGAGCCUCUCUCCUCCUCGAGUUCUAAAUCAGCAAGAGAAGAGGGACCUAUAAGACAGCAAGGAAGUUUGAUUUACAUAAAACCUCUUGCAAGAAGAUUCUAUCCAUCAGGUAAAGCCCCUUUGACUAGAAAGUAAAAUCUCUGUCAAAGACAGAUCUAAAGGCUUGAACAGUUAGGAAUGAAACUGCCUACGGGAAGAGUGAGCUCUUCCUUCUCACCUUCGGCUACUAAAAAA